GACGAACGCUGGCGGCGUGCUUAACACAUGCCAGUCGAACGGAAAGGCCCUGCUUUUGUGGGGUGCUCGAGUGGCGAACGGGUGAGUAACACGUGAGUAACCUGCCCUUGACUUUGGGAUAACUUCAGGAAACUGGGGCUAAUACCGGAUAGGAGCUCCUGCUGCAUGGUGGGGGUUGGAAAGUUUCGGCGGUUGGGGAUGGACUCGCGGCUUAGCAGCUUGUUGGUGGGGUAGUGGCUUACCAAGGCUUUGACGGGUAGCCGGCCUGAGAGGGUGACCGGCCACAUUGGGACUGAGAUACGGCCCAGACUCCUACGGGAGGCAGCAGUGGGGAAUAUUGCACAAUGGGCGGAAGCCUGAUGCAGCAACGCCGCGUGCGGGAUGACGGCCUUCGGGUUGUAAACCGCUUUCGCCUGUGACGAAGCGUGAGUGACGGUAAUGGGUAAAGAAGCACCGGCUAACUACGUG
rnacentral:rRNA from 1 species